AUACGUAGGUGGCAAGGCGUUGUCCGGAUUUAUUGGGCGUAAAGCGAGCGCAGGCGGUUCCUUAAGUCUGAUGUGAAAGCCCACGGCUCAACCGUGGAAGGUCAUUGGAAACUGGGGAACUUGAGUGCAGAAGAGGAGAGUGGAAUUCCAUGUGUAGCGGUGAAAUGCGUAGAUAUAUGGAGGAACACCAGUGGCGAAGGCGACUCUCUGGUCUGUAACUGACGCUGAGGCUCGAAAGCGUGGGGAGC
rnacentral:rRNA from 1 species